rnacentral:rRNA from 1 species
UACGUAGGGGGCGAGCGUUGUCCGGAAUCAUUGGGCGUAAAGAGCGUGUAGGUGGACUGGCAGGUCUGGUGUGAAAGCCCGGGGCUCAACCCCGGAGGGUCACUGGAAACCAACAGUCUUGAGUCCGGAAGAGGAGAGUGGAAUUCCUGGUGUAGCGGUGGAAUGCGCAGAUAUCAGGAGGAACACCAAUGGCGAAGGCAGCUCUCUGGUACGUGACUGACACUGAGACGCGAAAGCGUGGGGAGCGAACAGG